AGGUGGGAGGAUGGCUUGAGCCCAGGAGAUGGAGGUUGCAGUGAGCUGAGAUUGCACCACUGCACUCCAGGCUGGGUGAUAGAGUCAGACUUUGUCU
rnacentral:miRNA from 1 species